UUCCAUAUCUCACUGUCACUGGUCGUAUACUUUGUUCUUCCAGCGCGAAACCGUAUUCCAGUCAAUAGGUGAGCCUACUCUCAAUGAAACGGCAAUAUCACCCCACAUGCAUCAUGCAUGCAUAAACUUACCAUGAUAUUGACCAAAACCCACAAUUUUAAUAGGAAAAUUUCAAAACCAAUCAUCUGGUGCCAAUGGUAUACAACAUUAAAUAGGAUAUGCACCAAACUUAGUUGGCCAACUACUUCUGCAAGGUUUGUAUGAAUAUACAUGGAAAUUUGUUCUACUUGUACUAGUUGGUUAAUAGUAUUUGACAUUUACAGAAGUCCCCGACUACCUCUUAGAUCGUUGUAUAAAAACAUAAGACGGAAUCACGAGUAUAUUUAAUGAGACACUGGGGGGAGCAGGGUAGAAGAAAUUAAAGGAUGAUAAACAAUAAAAUGGAAGAGUCAUCAACAACAUCAAAAGAGAAGAUAUUGGAUGUUUACAAUAAGAAGCCAUGCUGCAAUUUCUUUGAAGAAGCAGUGAGGGCAAUUUUCAGGUGUUUGGGUGUUGAGGCUUCUUCUUCACCUGCAGAAACCUCGCGCGGAAUCGUAUGUACGGAAGACCCACCUUUAAGCACAGGGAGUGGUGGUCAAAUUAAUUGAUCAACUCUUAAUUACCACAAGCCUGCAUGAUACGGAGUAUGGACAAUCUUGAAGCCAGAGUUUUCAUUCAUGUUUGUCAAAAGUUCUGUUUUUUACAAAUUACAACAGUGAGGAGAAGUAGUCCAUUAUAUCAUGUCUGUAAUAUAAAUUGGACCAUGCAAAGAGAUCUUACUUACGUCUGAUAAAUGAUAAAUAGAAUUAAGCA